UGUUGUAUCAGACCUAUUAAUUUCUCACGCAGAAGACAGGCCGGCAAGCGAGGGAGCCAGAAAAUUUGCAGCCUGGUACCGCCACAGCACCCCAGCCGUCAUGAGUUCAACUGCGGCGGCGCCAACUGGUGGAAUGAUCCCCGUGGAUGAAGCAUUGGCCAUGGUGCUGCAAGCGGCGGCGCGCCUGCCGUCGGUGAGCCUCCCCCUCGUAGAGGCUCUCGGACUGGUGCUUGCCGAGGACAUCCGCGCUCCCGAUCCCCUCCCUCCUUUUCGUGCUUCCAUCAAGGAUGGAUAUGCUGUAGUGGCUUCAGAUGGUCCUGGCGAAUAUCCAAUAAUUAUCGAAUCAAGAGCCGGAAAUGAUGGUGCUGGUGUUGAACUUACCCCUGAAACGGUUGCAUAUGUGACAACUGGAGGUCCAAUACCUGAUGGUGCAGACUCUGUUGUACAAAUUGAGAAUUCUACGCCAGUGAAUGGCACCGCUGAUGGAAUGAAGAUGGUUAAGAUACUGGUGAAAGUUCCACGAGGACUUGAUAUACGUGAAAUGGGUUCAGACAUUGAGAAGGAUGCUGUAGUAUUGAAGUCAGGUGAGUUAUUAGGCAGUGCUGAAAUAGGUUUGCUUGCUACUGUUGGAGUUACCAUGGUGAAGGUGUACCCUAGACCAAUGGUGGCUGUACUUUCUACAGGAGAUGAAUUGGUGGAGCCAUCAACUAAAAGUCUAGGCAGAGGCCAGAUUAGAGAUUCUAAUCGAGCUAUGCUACUUACAGCUGCUCUUCAGCAGCAGAGUAAAGUUGUAGAUCUUGGAAUUGCUCGUGAUGAUGAAGAAAGCAUUAAUAAGAUAUUUGAUACAGCUAUUGAAUCUGGGGUUGAUAUAUUGUUGACUUCUGGUGGUGUUUCCAUGGGAGAUAAAGAUCUGGUGAAGCCUAUGUUGGGAAGAAAGGGAACCAUUCUUUUUGAAAAGGUUUUCAUGAAACCUGGAAAGCCUUUGACAUUUGCUAAGAUUAGCGCCAAAUCUGAAGAUAAAGGAAGUGCUAAGACAGUACUUGCAUUUGGUUUGCCUGGAAAUCCUGUGAGCUGUUUGGUUUGCUUCCAACUUUUUGUUGUUCCUGCUAUACGUUGUCUGUCUGGAUGGCCAAACCCUCAGCUUACAAGGGUGCAUGCUCGCAUUGCUCAACAAAUAAGGACCAGUGCGGAUAGACCAGAGUAUCAUCGCGCCAUUUUAAGAUGGGACUUUGAUGAUGGAUCUGGCUUACCAGGUUUUGUUGCUGUGAGCACAGGAGGACAAUUGAGCAGCCGUCUUAUGAGCAUGAAGUCUGCAAAUGCUUUACUGGAGUUACCUGCAACAGGGCAGAUGCUUGGUGCUGGAACUUCUGUUCAAGCAAUACUGCUUUCUGACAUAGGCAGCUUUCCUUUGAACCAUUCAGACAAAGUGACACCAAGCGCAUCUUCCCAUACUGAUGGUACUGCCAAUUGCUUGCAAACUGGUAUUGUGCUCAAAGAGAGGAAUGUUAAGGUUGCUAUUCUUACUGUGAGUGACACCGUUGCAAAUGGGGUUGGCCCUGAUAGGAGCGGUCCCAGAGCUGUUUCUGUUGUGAAUACUUCAUCAGAAGCACUGGGGGGUGCAUCUGUUGUUGCAACAGCUGUAGUUCCGGAUGAGGUGGAUAAAAUAAAAGAAGUUCUGAAAAAAUGGAGUGAUAUUGAUAGGGUUGACCUUAUUCUAACUUUAGGUGGCACGGGCUUUACUCCAAGAGAUGUUACACCUGAAGCCACAAAGGCAUUACUGGAGAAAGAUGCUCCUGGUCUGUCCUUUGUAAUGCUUCAAGAGAGUCUAAAGGUCACACCUUUUGCUAUGCUUUCAAGGGCUGCAGCUGGUAUCAGAGGAUCAACGCUGAUAAUCAACAUGCCAGGGAAUCCAAAUGCAGUGGCUGAGUGUAUGGAGGCUUUGUUUCCAGCACUCAAACAUGCAUUAAGGCAGAUAAAGGGCGACAAGAGAGAGAAGCAUCCACGCCACAUACCACAUGCUCAGUCACAGCCUACUGAUCAAUGGGAGAAGAGCUUUAAGACAGCUACUUCAGGCUGUUAAUUAAUGGUUCGUUUGGGAUGACUUUUUUACUGCUUUUUAAAUCAACUUUUUAGUAAAAAACUAAAAAUUUUGAACUAUAAAGUUGUUUUACGAAGCAGGAAGAAAACCGUCCCAAACGGAACCUAAUCCUCGCGGUGAACUGGCUUCACACUUCCAACUUAAACUACAACUCUUUCUGAUGUGGAAACUUUCUGGAUAUGGCUGUGAACCUUGAAGAUGAAAGGUAAUUAGCUCAGCAUAAUAUAUGCUUUAGCUUAGCUGGAGAUGGGUGGAUGCAGAAUCUUUAUAGGCUAUGUUUGGAGACUGGAAAUUGUGAGUCUAAUGAAUGGUUUCAUCUCAUUUACUUUCACUUUUCGCUGUACAAUCAAAUCCUUAAUAAAGCAAACCUUGUAGGAUUUGGUUUUAAAUCUUAAUUCAAAUAAAUCUGCUUUCUUUCA